rnacentral:rRNA from 1 species
AGCGAACGUUUGCGGCGGGCCUAACACAUGCAAGUCGAACGCACUAGCAAUAGUGAGUGGCGCACGGGUGCGUAACACGUGGGUAAUCAACCCUUCAGCUUGGGAUAACGACUUGAAAGGGUCGCUAAUACCGGAUACGGCGCGAGAGGCUUCGGCUUCUCACGAGAAAGCCUCGCAAGGGGCACUGAAGGACGAGCCUGCGGCCCAUCAGCUAGUUGGUGAGGUAAGAGCUCACCAAGGCUAAGACGGGUAGCUGGUCUGAGAGGAUGAUCAGCCACACUGGAACUGAGACACGGUCCAGACUCCUACGGGAGGCAGCAGUGGGGAAUAUUGCGCAAUGGGCGAAAGCCUGACGCAGCCACGCCGCGUGAGCGAUGAAGGCC